rnacentral:rRNA from 1 species
GACGAACGCUGGCGGCGUGCUUAACACAUGCAAGUCGAACGGAAAGGCCCUGCUUUUGUGGGGUGCUCGAGUGGCGAACGGGUGAGUAACACGUGAGUAACCUGCCCUUGACUUUGGGAUAACUUCAGGAAACUGGGGCUAAUACCGGAUAGGAGCUCCUGCUGCAUGGUGGGGGUUGGAAAGUUUCGGCGGUUGGGGAUGGACUCGCGGCUUAUCAGCUUGUUGGUGGGGUAGUGGCUUACCAAGGCUUUGACGGGUAGCCGGCCUGAGAGGGUGACCGGCCACAUUGGGACUGGGGUACGGCCCAGACUCCUACGGUAGGCAGCAGUGGGGAAUAUUGCACAAUGGGCGGAAGCCUGAUGCAGCAACGCCGCGUGCGGGAUGACGGCCUUCGGGUUGUAAACCGCUUUCGCCUGUGACGAAGCGUGAGUGACGGUAAUGGGUAAAGAAGCACCGGCUAACUACGUG